CGGUCAAUUUUUAACCCCUAAAGCCCCCAAAGAAACCCUCUCCGACGUCUCCGUUCUCUUUUUGGCGUUCGACCUGCGAUCAUGCUCGCGUUUCUUCCCUCCCGCUCCAAUGGUUAUGGACUUCCACUUCGACGACGUGAGCUCGGACGAGGAAGGGGCGAAGAAGUCCCCGUGGGAGUUCCCCUCCUACUCGGAGUCCGUGACCGAGGAGCACGCCCGGAGGAGAACCACCUCCGUCGACGCCAAGAUGUCUAAUUCCCCUUCAAGAGCGCCCCGUCUCGCUUCCCGACGACGACGAAGAGAAGGAGGAGGAGCCGGAGGAUGAGGUCCAUUCCGUUGACGAGUCCACCAACCAAGUGUAAAUGGAGAAAGUAGUAAAGUUCUGGAACUUACUAAUUCAACAAGAUGUGACAAUUGCUUUAUAGCCAUGGUUCAUAUCUUGGCUGAUGCUCAUAUUUGUAAGAAUAUUAGUUUUAUAUUUUAAAAGUUUGACAAAUCAUAUAACAUCAUACUCCAGAGUUUAUUAUAUCUAUGUAUA